rnacentral:miRNA from 1 species
CUCCAUAACAGUAUAACUUUGCAA